GUAAGGAGGUUCUGCAUCCAGGGGGAUGGAACAGGAGUGCCUUGGUUUUUAGGCUAGCACAUGACUGGAACCCCAAAGGGAACGGGGCUGAACUCAGGAAAGAUGCUGGAGUGGGACCUCUGUGACUGAUUGGUUCAGGUUUGUUCUUUAUGCAUAGGGGAUCCUCCUGUUGUUUAACCUCUCCUCACCCCAACAUGCCCCAUGGUUGUGGAGUGGCUUACUUAAGACGGGGGAAGAUUAUGAUGAAACUACUGCUUUCCCUUUUAUGACCCCAAUCCAGUUUCUGCCAGCUAUUCUAAUAUACAUGGAGGGGAGUACCUAAUCCAAGAUCACUAUCAUAUACAUGGAGCUCUCCCCUACACCACUGCAGGAUCUUGCAGAAAUAUGGGGCCUUUACAAUGAUUGUAAUAAACUGUGUCAUCC